rnacentral:rRNA from 1 species
UGAGGAAUAUUGGUCAAUGGGCGCGAGCCUGAACCAGCCAAGUCGCGUGAGGGAUGACGGCCCUACGGAUUGUAAACCUCUUUUGCCGGGGAGCAACGGGGUCCUUGCGGGGGCCCGAUGAGAGUACCCGGAGAAAAAGCAUCGGCUAACUCCGUGCCAGCAGCCGCGGUAAUACGGAGGAUGCGAGCGUUAUCCGGAUUUAUUGGGUUUAAAGGGUGCGUAGGCGGGCUGUUAAGUCAGCGGUCAAAUGCCGGGGCUCAACCCCGGGACUGCAUUGGAAACUGUCGUGCUGGAGUGUCGGAGGGGCAAGUGGAAUUCCUAGUGUAGCGGUGAAAUGCAUAGAUAUCGCGCAGAACUCCGAUUGCGAAGGCAGCGUACCGGCGCCAGACUGACGCUGAGGCACGAAAGCGUGGGGAUCGAACAGG